GACGAACGCUGGCGGCGUGGAUUAGGCAUGCAAGUCGAACGGUAUCAUCCUUUCGGGGGUGAGAGAGUGGCGAACUGGUGAGUAACACGUAGGUUAUCUACCCUCAAGACGGGGACAACCCGGGGAAACUUGGGCUAAUACCGGAUGUGAGCAACUUUUAGUUGUUUGAAAGGUGGCGUAAGCUGUCGCUUGGGGAUGAGCCUGCGUCCUAUUAGUUAGUUGGUGAGGUAACGGCUCACCUAGGCAAUGAUAGGUAGGCGGCCUUAACGGGUGGUCGCCCACACUGGGAUUGAGAUACGGCCCAGACUCCUACGGGAGGCAGCAGUCGAGAAUAGUCUACAAUGGUCGGAAGACUGAUAGUGCGACGCCGCGUGAACGAUGAAUCCCUUCGGGGUGUAAAGUUCUUUUAUAUGUGAGCAGUGCUUUCUUAUAUUAACAGUAUGGGGAAGAGAUAUUAGCAUAUGAAUAAGCAACGGCUAACUCCGUGCCAGCAGCCGCGGUAAU
rnacentral:rRNA from 1 species